rnacentral:rRNA from 1 species
UCGGGAAUUUUGCGCAAUGGACGAAAGUCUGACGCAGCAACGCCGCGUGAGGGAUGACGGCCUUCGGGUUGUAAACCUCUUUUGUCAGGGACGAUGAUGACGGUACCUGACGAAUAAGCCACGGCUAACUACGUGCCAGCAGCCGCGGUAAUACGUAGGUGGCAAGCGUUGUCCGGAUUUACUGGGCGUAAAGAGCGCGCAGGCGGUCGUUCAAGUCGCGUGUGAAAGCCCCCGGCUCAACUGGGGAGGGUCACGCGAUACUGAUCGACUCGAAGGCAGGAGAGGGUAGUGGAAUUCCCGGUGUAGUGGUGAAGUGCGUAGAUAUCGGGAGGAACACCAGUGGCGAAGGCGACUACCUGGCCUGUUCUUGACGCUGAGGCGCGAAAGCUAGGGGAGCAAACGGGAUUAGACUACCCCGGUAGUCCUAGCCGUAAACGAUGGACACGUAGGUGUUGGUGGUAUCAACCCCGCAGUGCCGAAGCUAACGCUA